CAGCCGCCGCGGUAAUACGGAGGGGGCUAGCGUUGUUCGGAAUUACUGGGCGUAAAGCGCACGUAGGCGGCUUGGUAAGUUAGAGGUGAAAGCCUGGAGCUCAACUCCAGAAUUGCCUUUAAGACUGCCGAGCUAGCAGGUGAGAGAGGUAAGUGGAAUUCCGAGUGUAGAGGUGGAAUUCGUAGAUAUUCGGAAGAACACCAGUGGCGAAGGCGGCUUACUGGCUCAUACUGGACGCUGAGGUGCGAAAGCGUGGGGAGCAAACAGGAUUAGAUACCCCGGUAGUCCCUGUCUCUUAUAU
rnacentral:rRNA from 1 species